UAUAAAGUGUGGUCUGAUGUCGAACUCCUGU
rnacentral:piRNA from 1 species